AUGGGCGCUAGCAGCAAGAUCGUCGAGAAUCAGAAGCAGGAGAGUGUGCUAGGAGGCGUUCUAUCGUGCCCAACCGCAGGAGAGCCUGGACCUGAUGGAGAGCUUGACGAUUUCCAGCCAAGGGGCAGAGUGAAUGAUUCUGAUGAAACUGAAGCUAUGCUGGUUAUGGAGCUCACUGGAGGGUUCAGAGUGAUUCAGAGAGGGAGAAGCGCCAAAAGCGCUCGCAAAAAUUUGGGGAAAAGGCUACCAGAUCACCAAGCUACUUUCCAGCUAGCCAUGGUGACUGUCGGUGUCAAAACCGGCGGAUCUCGGGUAGGGGGUCCUGAACUGUGCGUCUAA
rnacentral:rRNA from 1 species